rnacentral:rRNA from 1 species
GACGAACGCUGGCGGCGUGCUUAACACAUGCAAGUCGAACGGGUCUGCCCUGUUUUUUGCGGGGUGGGUCAGUGGCGAACGGGUGAGUAACACGUGAGUAACCUGCCCCUCACUUCUGGAUAACCGCUUGAAAGGGUGGCUAAUACGGGGUGUUCUGGCUGUGCCGCGUGGUGUGGCUGGGAAAGAUUCACUUUUGUGGUGUUUUGGUGGGGGAUGGGCUCGCGGCCUAUCAGCUUGUUGGUGGGGUGAUGGCCUGCCAAGGCUUUGACGGGUAGCCGGCCUGAGAGGGUGGGCGGUCACACUGGGACUGAGAUACGGCCCAGACUCCUGCGGGAGGCAGCAGUGGGGGGUAUUGCACAAUGGGCGGAAGCCUGAUGCAGCGACGUCGCGUGAGGGAUGGAGGCCUUCGGGUUGUGAACCUCUUUCGCCGGUGAAGAAGGUCCUGCUCUUUGUGGUGGGGUUGACGGUAGCCGGGUUAUGAAGCGCCGGCUAACUACGUG